rnacentral:misc_RNA from 1 species
UCCGGUUUGUCACCGGCAGUCUCGCAUGAGUCCCCAACUUAAUGCUGGCAGCAUGCGACGGGGGUUGCGCUCGUUGCGGGACUCAACCCAACAUCUCACGACACGAGCUGACGACAGCCAUGCACCACCUGUGACCGCCCCCGAAGGACCUCACAUCUCUGCGAGUUUUGCGGCCAUGUCAAACCCAGGUAAGGUUCUUCGCGUUGCAUCGAAUUAAAGAACAUGCUCCGCUGCUUGUGCGGGCCCCCGUCAAUUCUUUUGAGUUUUAGCCUUGCGGCCGUACUCCCCAGGCGGAACACUUAUCGCGUUGGCUUCGGCACAGACAGAUUCGACUCCGCCCACACCUAGUGUUCAUCGUUUACGGCGUGGACUAC